GACGAACGCUGGCGGCGUGCUUAACACAUGCAAGUCGAACGGAAAGGCCCUGCUUUUGUGGGGUGCUCGAGUGGCGAACGGGUGAGUAACACGUGAGUAACCUGCCCUUGACUGUGGGAGAACCUCAGGAAACUGGGGCUAAUACCGGAUAGGAGCUCCUGCUGCAUGGUGGGGGUGGGAAAGAUUCGGCGGUUGGGGAUGGACUCGCGGCUUAUCAGCUUGUUGGUGGGGUAGUGGCUUACCAAGGCUUUGACGGGUAGCCGGCCUGAGAGGGUGACAGGCCAAAUUGGGCCUGAGAUGCGGCACAGACUCGUCCGGGAGGCAGCGGAGCGGAAUAUUGCACAAUGGGCGGAAGCCUAGUGCAGCACAGCCGCGUGCGGGAUGACGGCCUUCGGGUUGUAAUCCGCUUUCGCCUGUGACGAGGCGUGAGUGACGGUAAUGGGUAAAGAAGCACCGGCUAACUACGUG
rnacentral:rRNA from 1 species